GUCACCUUCCACCUUCUUUAUAGCCAAUUUUUAUUUUCUUUUAUUUUAGUUCUUUUUCACCAUUUCCAAUCUCCUCAAGCUCAAAACCAUCAAAUUUUCCAUUGAUUCCUAGUGAAAUCAAUAAAGCAACCUCAUAGCAAGCUAAGUUUCUUGUAAAGUUAGUUAGUGUUCACAUUUAUGGAGAGAAAAAAGUGAAGUUAGGGAUUUAAGUAAAAGUUCAAGAGAAAGAGAAGAGAGGUGAUUAACAAGGUCUUUAUAAGGGGAAAAAAGUAGCAAAAGAAUGAAGGAAGAAGAAAGAGCUCAUCCAAGCAUUUGAUUCAAGGCAAAAGGCAAAGAGAAGCUUACCUAGCCUUUGACAUUCGACCGAAAGUAAUCCGAUAAAUAGUUGUUUUGUUGGAGGAGAAGUGAGCCAUCCAAGUGAUCCAAAACAAGACCAAACUUUCUUGAGUAUGUGAUGUGUUUCCUACUUCAAUAAGGAUGGCAAUAUGAGACUUUACUUUGGGAGUUAGACUUUGAUAUUUUCUUUGAUUAUUUGAGAAUUUUGAUUUUGAAUAUGAAUGUUAUGAUGGUUUGAGUUGCAUGAUAAAUGAUUUGUAUGCCUAUGGGCGAAUAAUGACAUAGAUGUUUUUAGUGUAUGCUGAAAGUUGUAGCAAGUUUCAAAUGACUUGUUGGUAUGAAAUAGACCUUUUAUGCACAUAAAAAUUCUAUUAAUGUAAAAUUGGUAUGCUAAGUAAUUGAUUUAUGAAGUUAGGAUUGCAUGCUAGCAUAACUAUUUACGUUGGAUGUCAAAUUGUGUGUUGAGAAAUUUUGAAGUGUGUGAUAAUACUUAAUACGAUCUAUCUAUGUUUUAUGAUAUUUUGGAUUAGAUAAAUUAAGCUAAAUGCGCGAAUUGAUAUGCUUGGUAAUGUGAAAAAGUGUCAUAUGCAGUUUUGGGCUAUUUUCUACAGAAAUUAUAGACGACGUUACGAUGAAGGAUCGACGUCACGACGAGGAAUGUUGUGUGAUCACGACAUGAUAUAUUGUGUGAUUGAACCAUGUUUUGAUAAUUUUGCAAUACAAUUCUGAUUUUCAUACUUUGCAAUUGGAGUCCUUAAAUCUUUGUUUUGUAAUUAAAUGAGUCUUUCUUAUUUUUCUAAAUUGUUUCUUUCAAAUACAGUCUAAGUUCAGAUGCUUUAAACUGUAUGUAUGCUUAACUUGUUGAGGUAUGUAUGAUUUGUAUAUUGUAUAAGGAAAGAUGAAUAUACCCAUAUUGUUGUAUUGAUUAGAGUAGCGUAACGGAAGCAUGAUUUAGAGUUUAUAUAUUUACCCUGGACUAUAUGAUUGAUGCUUAUACAUAUAAAUAUGUUACAUGCAUAUUUUGAGGUGUGAACGAUGAUUUUUUGGUGUGUUUGGUGGUCGGUAAGGAGAGUCACGUAAGUGACGUUCUAGAUUGGGUCAGACCAUCCUGGCCAGGUUUGGGGCUCUACAUGAUGAUUGAAUUGUAUGUGAAUAUGUCAAGUAUAUAUGUAUAAAAUUUGAUGAAUGAAAAGUGAAAAUAUGAAUUGGAUUCUAAUUUCAAAAUGAGUAGAUUUGAAUGAAGAGACUAAAUUGUAGUAAGGACAUUGUCAAGCGUAAAAAAUUAGACAUGUGAACCAAAAUAUUGAUAAAUAGGGUUUGAAUGAAGUAUAAUGUAUUAGUGAAUAGACGAAAAGUAAAGUUAUAGUGAAAUUAGAAAGUAUAGUGAAUUUUCAUCUGAACAAAGACUAUACGGAAAAAGGUGUAAAAUUUAAAUUGUUUUUAAUUGUUGAGUAAAUGUACUGAAUUUAACAUAUAAAUGCUCAUGUAGACAAGGUGUGAGCUAGUAGGAUAUAGAUGACAUGCCAUUAGGAGAUUUUCAAGUGCGCUAGUGAUAGUGGCACUUCGGUGCUAGUGACAGUGGCACUUCGGUGUCGUUUGUUUAUUUUACACUUUGGUGUAAGGUAGUACUGGCACCGUUGUGCAAAUGAAUUAAUUUUCUAUACACAUAUCUUACGUGUUCUAUUGAGUCUACAAUUGGGAAAAUAAUAUAAAAGGUAAGUGGUCAUAUAAAUGAAUUGGUAAGUGAUCUAUAGAAUGUUAGUUUAAUAAUUCACUAUGGUUACUUUUCACUUAAUUUCACUGUACAUAACUAAUAUUCAGAUACUUUAAAUGAUAACAUAGGUUUUUUUAAAUGGUAAGUUUAAUUCUUGAUGUACUUACUAAACUCAUCACAUCUUAAAGCUUGAUGAUCUGCCACAAUUCGUUGUGGCAAAUUACAUUUCUUUUAACACUUAAUGAGCUUGUUUUCAAGUGAUUUAGAAUUACUUUAGUUAGUUUUAUGUUUUAGUACUUUCCUAGUUAAAAUUAAUAAAAUGAGAACUUUGAUGUGUUUUAUGACCUUUUAGGCCAAUCCAGGCCUAAGGGAAGAUUAACAAGUUGAUUAACUGUGUAGGACAUCAAUUUAGGCCAAGGAGUCAGUGGACUAUCUUCAAUGCAACAACAUCCAACUAGGAUGUCGUAACAACCAACUUCAAAGUAACCAAGGAGCAUGAAGACAUCAAUGUCGCGACAUCCACCUUUGAAGCCAAGGAAGUCCAGUUUGAUGUUUAAUGUCACGACAGCAGCUUAUGAAUGUCGUGACACCAGUUCGACGAGGCCUAAUUUACAGCUAAGGGUGUUUUAGUCUACACAACCUUAAUUAAAUGUGAUUAGACAUUUGUAAUUAACCUAAUUCAACCAUGUAAUACUGUUAUUAUAUAUAGUAGUUCUGAAGACUUAAUUGGGGGAAUUUCCCUUUGUUUUAA